CUAUCUGCUUCAGUAUUUAGUUGAAAUUUGACUGCACAGAAAUUUCUCUGAAAUUACUAGAAGGUGUGACCCAUCAGCUAACCUUUUGAUAAAUAAGAGACAAGUAAUUUUAGAAAAUGGGGUGCCUAGUGUCUACACCGAAGGAUUCUGGUGGAAACAGAAGGAGACCAGGAAGUAUAGGGGAAGUUUUUGUUUAUAUACCUG
rnacentral:misc_RNA from 1 species